UAUUUUUCUCUUUAACCCCCAGAACAUUACUCUUUUUAGAUUUUGAAAACUAGGGUCUCUGUCUGUUCAAAACUUAUUUUCUAGCCCUCCAUUUAGACACGCUCUUUCUCUCCUCUCUCUCUAAAUACAUAAAAUCCAUUUAAGAGAGAGAGAGAGAGAGGGAGAGGGAGAGGGCGGGACCAUAAAUUUAUUUCCAGGCGUUUCAAAACCCUAGAUCAGCCCCCAAUUUCCCGCCAAAACCCAUCUCCUAAAUACGACCUGUUUGCAAAAAUCGUGCAUAUAAUAGCGUACCCUUUUCUCUUAAUGACUGUUGCUUAUUAGUAAUGACUUUUUGUUUUUGCUUUUGUUUUUGAUGAUAACAAAGAGAACAACUAACCCAUUUUUAGGGUUUUGAAACAAUGGCAGGUUGGUCUAUGAUAGCUAAUGAUUGUACAAAAAACCCACGAAGAAAGAUAGCCCCGAACAGGUUUUGGGUGGAUCCUGAGCCGAAUUCAAAAGGGUCCGUUGUAAAAACCAAACUCAAUUACCAGCUCAGGAGUUGUUUUGAUAAGUUUUCAGAGUCAUUUUUCAAAGAGGUUUGUGGGUUAGAUAGUUGUUUAUGGACUCUACCUCCAAUGCUUGGAAAUGGGCAGUUUGUAGAUUUGCUUAAACUGUUUUUAGUUGUGAGAGAGAAGGGUGGAUAUGAUGUCGUUUCCAAAAAUGGGUUGUGGGGUUUGGUUGCUCAAGAGUCUGGGUUUGGAUUGAGCCUUGUGCCGGCUGUGAAACUGGUCUACAUUAAGUACUUAGACGCAUUGGAGAGGUGGUUAGAGAGGCUUCUUGUUGACAGUGUAGAACUCAACACGGAGUUGAGUGGUAGCGGGGUUAAUGUGGUUGGGGCUGUAAUGGAAUUAGGGGCCGAGUUCAAAGGGUUGUUAUCACAAAUGCCAGAGAAGGAGUUUUUGGAAUUGAAAUCGGAGUUGAACGUGGAUGCCGAGGUGGAGUCUUAUGAGAGUGAGAAGUUGGUCGAGGAUGAAGAACCUUUGCAUAUAGACUUAACUAAGAGUGGUGUUGAUUACGUGGAAGUUGGUGAAUCAGGUGAUAAUGUGGUAAAGGGUGUCAUGGUGGAUGAUUCCUUUUCUAACUGGAAUGUGAAAUGCAAGGAUGUUGGUGAAAAACUGAUAUCUGAUUCCAGGAAAAACGAGAAAGUGGAAAAUGAGGAUGAGGUGAAGAGUGUGGUGGUGGUGGAAAUUGAUGGAGAGGGGGAAGGAGAUAAGGGUGAUAACAGUGAGGUUGAGGAACUGGAUUUAGCAACUUAUAACGAAUCUGUUUCUAGUCGUAAGAGGAAGCGAGAGUCCAUUCCUAGAAUGCUGAACUGGGUUACUGGGAUUGCAAGGGAUCCAUGUGAUCCUGUGGUUGGAUCAUUACCUGAGUGGUCAAAGUGGAAAUUUUAUGGGAAUGAGGAAUGCUGGAAGCAGGUUUUGUUGACUCGGGAAGCAUUGUUUCUGAAAAGAAAUGUUGAUUCAACCUCAAUUGCAGAAGGCUCUUUUCGGCAGAAAAAUCCGAAGAUGCAUCCAUGUAGGUAUGAUGAUCACGCUGGAUCUAGUUACAAUCUUAGAGAGAGGUUAAAAUGUAGAAAGAAGCCACUUCCUGGGGAAACAUCUUCUCAAGCACAUGUUUGUUCACAGUCAUCUUCUGCGGCCGCUCAAACUGAUUCAGACUCUUGCAUGGAUGGGGUUUAUGAUGGUGAUUCUUCAACUGAACAUUCAGUGCUUGACUUUCCAAUUACAAAGAGAAUUCCCGUGGGGCCAGUUUUUCAGGCCGAAGUACCAGAGUGGACUGGUGUGGUUUCCAAAAGCGACUCAAAGUGGCUUGGGACUCAGGUUUGGCCACUCAAAACUUCAAUUAACAAAUUUGUUAUUGAAAGGGAACCUAUUGGUAAGGGAAGGUCAGAUUCAUGUGGAUGCCAAGUGCCGAAAUCUAUAGAAUGUGUCAGAUUUCACAUUACUGAGCGAAGGUUUAGAGUGAUGCGUGAAUUGGCGAAGGCUUUUAAUCAGUGGAGAUUUGAUAGGAUGGGUGAAGAAGUUAAACUCUCCUGGACAGUCGAAGAACAAAAGAAGUUUGGAGCUACAGUGAGGUCAAAUCCUCUCUCUCUCGAUAAGAAUUUUUGGGUUGAGAUAUUCAAAUGUUUCCCUGGUAGGAGAAGGGAAGAUCUGGUGAGCUACUACUACAAUGUAUUUCUUUUGCAGCGCAGAGCAAACCAGAAUAGGUCUACUCCAGGUAACAUUAAUAGUGAUGAUGAAUCAGAAUGUGAAUUAUUAACCAAUGGCUCUGGGCGUGAGGCUGUCAAUUCACCAGGCUCUCUCAUAUCAGCAAAGAAGCAGCAUAAACAUGUUAAAUAGUGUCUGAUCCGGUUGAUGCCUAACAGAGAUAUAGAGCCUGGCAGUUUCCUUUUUUCCUUUUUCCUUUUCGGUUUUGCUAUUUGGCAAUUUUGAAUGGCUGCUACAGAAUUUCCACUGCUUUUGAAAAGCGGAUGUUUAGCAAUUCAAGUUCGUGCAUUGGUGGGUAAUUAAAGGAGAGAAUUGAUGACAGCUGUUGUUGUGGGAGCAGCAAACUGUAAGAGCUCAACCAGCCAAAUUGAUUUUGAAGUGCUUUCUGGUUCAUUUCUUCUGGUUUUUGAGACAUACCCCUGUUCAUUCAUAUAUUGCAACAUCGAUUUCAGACUGUAGACAUUGUUCGAGUGGGGUUGCUUUCAUUCCCACAGAAUGAAGAUUGUGCAGCUGUAUCGCCAGCAUCACGGUUGAAGCACUGCAGAUUUCAAAUGCUUGUGGAGAUGAUAACAUAAUCUUGGCAUUUCUUUGCAUGUUACCACAGAAGCUAAAAUUGUUAGUGUGCUUAGCAACAUAGGUUUUUUAAGUAAAUCCUACAUCUUAAACUCCAGCAGCGAUGUGUUUAUUUAGGCAACAAUUUUUUUUUUCUUGUCUGGAUUGGAUCUUUAUGAUUUGUUUGUGCAUUUUGGUUUGUGGUGUUUUUGUGAAAAUCAGGAAAGAAGAUGUUCGUUUAGUGCCGUCAA